rnacentral:rRNA from 1 species
GACAGAGGUGCCGAGCGUUAGGCGGAAUCACUGGGCUUAAAGCGUGUGUAGGCGGAUGCCUAAGUACCUUGUGAAAUCCCACGGCUUAACCGUGGAACUGCUUGGUAUACUGGGUGUCUUGAGCCACUUAGGGGCUACCGGAACAAAUGGUGGAGCGGUGAAAUGCGUAGAUAUCAUUUGGAACGCCAAUGGUGAAAACAGGUAGCUGGGAGUGUGCUGACGCUGAGACACGAAAGCCAGGGGAGCGAACGGGA